rnacentral:misc_RNA from 1 species
AAGUCGUAACAAGGUUUCCGUAGGUGAACCUGCGGAAGGAUCAUUAAUGAUUUUUAAAGCGAGUCGAGCGUUUAAGCGAGGCUUGCGAAAAUAUUUAAAACCCCACUCUUUUUAACCUUAAAAAAUAAAUCAUGAUACAUGAAUUUAAAAAAAAAGAUCACUUUCAACAACGGAUCUCUUGGCUCUC